rnacentral:lncRNA from 1 species
AUGUAACUCGUGCAGAAACCAUUACCCCUGAACACACAGAAGUGCUUGUAAAUGAGACUGAGAAUAUAACACUCUCCUGUAGUUAUUCCUCGGCAUACAGUCUCCUUUGGUAUCGACAGGAUCAUACAUCAGCUCCACAGUUCCUCAUGCUCAUCCUACAAAACUCUGGAAAAGUAAUACAGUCUUCAGAUGAGCGCCUGUCAGGAAAACUGAACGUGGACAAAAAUCGUGUGGAUUUGGAAAUCCCCUUUUCCACAGUUAAAGAAUCUGCAGUGUAUUUCUGUGCUCUGCAGACCACGGUGACAGGAAAUCAAACGUUACUGUACAAAAACCUAACAGCUUGAGAUCACAUGGGUUUAUCAUGCUCAAUAUUCACUCAGUUAGGGGGAGGAGCUUCAAGCAGCUGUAAAGAUCUCAAGUGCCAUCAUAGAUGCAAGUGCCAUUUCAGCAUGAUUCUGCUCGCCACAAUUAUCCUGCUCUGUGCUGUUGGGAGUGGAAGGUUUGAGAGUCCUAUUACGUCAGACCAAACUGAGGUCUUUGAUGAGGAGGGUGCCAAUAUAACUUUAUCAUGUAGCUACUCAGCUGCAAUUAGUUUGCACUGGUAUCGCAAAUAUCCCAAAUCAGCUCCUGAAUAUCUUUUAUUAAUUCUGCAAUCCUCCGGACGGGUCCAGAGCGCAGAGAAACUGGAUUCUCGGUUUUCAGUGAGACUGAAUGAAGAGAAAAACCGUGUGGAGCUAAUCAUCUCCUCUGUCAAUGUGACAGAUUCUGCUCUGUACUACUGUGCUGUGGAGCCCACAGUGACAGGAAACCUUUACACACUGUACAAAAACGUGCAUAUACACAGUAGAAAAUACAUAGACCAAUAACAAACAAUUUCUUUCCACUGCCCUUUUAUUUUAUUUUUUUAGGUUUUCGGUUAUUUGAGGACAUUGCAAAAAAUAAUUUAUGAUGAUAUAGUCCUCCUUCAACAGCCCUAAUAAUGUACAUUAGAAAAAUGUCUUUAUGAAAAAAAAGUACAAUAUCAUGGUCUAUCUUUUGACUUUACUAGGAUUAAUCUGCCAUCUAGUGGUCCUUUAGGCUCAGUACACUGGCUGAAUUGUGAAAUACAUGUCUUUUGUGGCUUUAUGAUAUCAUAUCAAGCAGUGAAAAUUAUCUACUCAAGUUAUCUACUCAAAAGUAGUGAUUUUGUUUUAAUAGACAGGAAACAUAAGCAUAUGAGUUUAUUUCCAUUUACCACUUUGGUUAAAGGCCACCAAAUAUUAUUUAUACAAUAAUAGUAAUAAUAUAGUUGUGAUAUGCACAAAAAAGCAGAAGGAUUAUUUUGAUGUAUAUUUCAGACAUGAGCAAAUGAAUACAUUCCUAUCAAAUUCCUGUUAAAGGUAAACCAUUCAUUGAAGACCAACACUAUAUGACCAAGUUGAUCAAAGAACUGAAUAACUAAAUAAAAUGCCAGUAGAUUAUGUCACAAGGUAUAACCUGUACACAGCCCUCUGAGGAUCGUUUCAGUUCAGUGAGAAUCUGAGCAGUAGUGAAGACAAUAACAUGAGCAGAGACUCAAUACAGACAGACAGUUGAAAAAAAUUCAGAAAGUUUGACAGCGAUACAGCAUUUCAACACACGUUUCUCCUGCAUUUGAGUCUGUGGAGCUCAACUCCGCAGUUCAGUGUCAGCAGAUGCUCAGCUGAUGUUGAGUGACUCUCCACAGACAGCUGGAGGAAAAAUGCACUUCAGAACAAGAGGCUUCUCCUUCAGCAGCCACCAUGGAGAACAGCCCAACAGGUUAGGAAUAACAUUAGAAUCUAAUGGAAAUAGUAAUAAAAUAUUAAUGAUAUCUAAACAUUACUUUAGAAAACAUUACUUGCCAAAAGUACAAGAUCACCACAACAAAUAUUAAG